CUAAUUUUUAACCUGUUUCAUGAUGUUAUCAAGACAAAAAGUGCAACAAAAUAAAUGUGCCUUUCUAUAACAAUUCUGUAACAAAAAGUUGUUUUGACUCAAGAUUGAGUCUUACGUUUCUUUUCAACAGCAGGCAUUCACCAGACUCACUUUAGUCCUUUUUCGAACUACGUAAGCUAAUACAGUGGGAAUGAUUCUCCAAAGAAAAUGUAUUCUACCUUACGUCGGCAUUUUGACACACCCAAAAUGGCGGACACCGCCGACGGCCGCCAUCGCCCUGUCCAAUUACUUCUUCCGUUCUGGCGAGAACUUCCGGUAAUGUCCGCUGUUCUGGUUGAGGAGGCCAAAUAGCGACAGACAUGAUGUCUGCAGCUCUGCGUGUGCUGUACUCAGCCUCUCGGGCAGGCAGGGUGUCUGUCUGUCCCAUGCUGGUGCGUCCCUUCAGCCUGUCUGUUCACAGAGAGGGAUACAAGUAUGUCAACGCUCAGGAGCUGCCCACAGACAUGAAGUCAAUCACAGACAAAGCUGCUCAGACCUUGUUGUGGACAGAGCUCUUUAGAGGUGAGAGCCCCACUUUCCCUCUCAGUGCAGUGUUAAUGUCCUGUAGUGUCCAGUCAGUGUGUCUGUACUGUAUUAACCCCUCUCUCUCAGUGCAGUGUUAAUGUCCUGUAGUG
rnacentral:lncRNA from 1 species